rnacentral:sRNA from 1 species
CAGUGAAAUCCGCCUGAAGGCGGGUGAAAUAUUGCUUACGCAAUGUGAAAUAUGGCUCCGCCAUGUGAAAUCCUGC